UACGUAGGAGGCGAGCGUUAUCCGGAUUUACUGGGCGUAAAGAGGGCGCAGGCGGCUUUUCAAGUCGGGUGUAAAAUCUCCCCGCUUAACGGGGAGGGAUCAUUCGAUACUGUUGAGCUAGAGAGUAGUAAAGGGAGGUGGAAUUCCCGGUGUAGUGGUGAUAUGCGUAGAUAUCGGGAAGAACACCAGGGGCGAAGGCAGCCUCCUGGGCUAUUUCUGACGCUGAGGCCCGAAAGCGUGGGGAGCGAACAGGAUUAGAUACCCUCGUA
rnacentral:rRNA from 1 species